rnacentral:lncRNA from 1 species
ACCAAAGCAGAGUCAAAGAAAGGUUUCAGGCUUUCCAGCUCCUGAUGUUUCAGAACAGAGCAUGAACUUUUCUUCUGAAAAAACAGGUCCCCCACCAGUAGCAGUGUCCAAAGAGUCCAAACAGACUGAUAUAGAACCACAUUCAAAACUGUCCAAAGAACCCAAAGAGACUGAUGCAGAACUGUCUCGAAACCUGUCCAAAGAACUCAAACAGACUGAUACAGAACCAUCUCCAAAGUUGUCCAUAGAACCCAAACAGACUGAGGGAGAAACACAUCCAAAACUUUCUGGAGAACUUGAACAGACUGAGCUGGAAUUACCUCCAAAACCUUUAGCAUUGGAUGAGAUAGUUGAUGUGUCACAAGAUCACCUUCUUGCUGUUGAGGCACAUCCUUUAGAAAAUGGUGGGAAAGUUGAGAACACUCCUGUGGUGAAUGAGGAGAUAAGCUGUAUGGAGGAUCAAACUACCAAGGAUAACAAGAGAACCAGGAGGAGGAAAUCUUUGCCAGCAAAGCAGGAAUGCUCAGAGAAUGUUUCACAUAACACUCCCACCUUGCCAAGCUAUAUGGCAGCAACUGAAUCUGCAAAGGCAAAGCUUAGAGCACAAGGAUCAC